UACAGAGGUCUCAAGCGUUGUUCGGAUUCAUUGGGCGUAAAGGGUGCGUAGGCGGCGCGGUAAGUCGGGUGUGAAAUUUCGGAGCUUAACUCCGAAACUGCAUUCGAUACUGCCGGUGCUUGAGGACUGGAGAGGAGACGUGGAAUUUACGGUGUAGCGGUGAAAUGCGUAGAUAUCGUAAGGAAGACCAGUGGCGAAGGCGGGUCUCUGGACAGUUCCAUGACGCUGA
rnacentral:rRNA from 1 species